AAACGAUGCCGGCGGCAGCUCAGCGUGUGUCGUACUGAUAGUGUUAUCACUAGCUAUCAUAAGACACACGCGGCUAUCGCCGGUCUCUCCU